UGCUCAGCCACGUGGGUGGGCCGGGAGCAACUGUGCUCGGAAAGACCCGCCGGUGAACCCCAGGUCCCCCAGCUCCCAGCUUCGUGGCCUCAGAGAGCCGCCCGGAGAUUUUGAGCCUGGAAAACCUCGCUGCCGGCUUGGGAGUGUGAUGCUGCCUGUGUUGUUUCCCGCGGCUGUCUGGACAGAUGAUCGCAAACUGAGUGCAUUUAAAUUUAUUUUAAAACAGCGGACAUCUAUUCUCUCACAGCUCCAGAAGCCAGAAGCUGAAAACCAAGGUACUAGCAGGGCCGAGCCCUUGCGGAGGCUCCCGGGGAGAGUCUGUUCUCGCCCCUUCCAGGUCCAGGUGGUCCAGGCAUUCCUGGGUUUGCAGCUGCACCCCGCCAGUCUGCCUUCCCCUCUGGGUUUGUAUCACAUCUCCCGUGCACACCUCUAUGAGGACACGCAGUGGCAUUUAGGAAGCCCGCCGGGAUGACUGGGGUGCACUCCGCACUCAAGAACUUCACUUCAUUGCAUCUUUUGUCAUGAAGAGUCCCCUGCUCUAGACAAUUCAGAUAAACGGAGUCGUACAAUAUGCGCCGUCUCGUCCUCUGGCUUCCUGCACUUCCUGCUCGGUGUCCGAAAGCACGUAGAAUCUGCAUGUCCAGCUUUUCUGGAAAUUGGGAGGAGACAGCCACCUGCACCCCUCGCCACUUGGCAUUGGCACUGCAGGAGCACCUGCCCAUCACCCCAGCAGCUUCGUCUUGGCCACCCUUGCUGGCCUCCCUUGCUGGCUGGCACUCCUGCUCCUGCCUGGCCCCUGAAGCACGGGGGUUGCGAUUCUGAGCUAAAGACUCCUCCACUGAUAGAUGUUUACAUUGCUUCCUUUGUUUGAUUGAAUGAGCUAGCAACAGACAACUCCCAGAUCAUACUGUCUUAACAUAGCCCGGUUACUUCUAGCUUGCACUGCUGGUGCAGCACGGGGGAGCCUGGCCUGCUCCAGGAGCCCAGGCUGGCGGAGACACCUUCCUUCACAGGCUCUGCGACCACCCAGAGUGGGGAGCGAAGGGGGUUUGAACAUAGAACUGAGGCCCUUAAACUGUUUGUCAGGAAGUGACACAUGACCCUCACGUGGACCUGUCAAAGGUCAAAGGGAUGUGUCCAUCUGAGUCUGGAAGAUUUGCCAAAUGGUGCUGGGACUCCCUUGGGUACCAGCUGGGCUACAGGACAUCCUGGUACCUGCAUGCUUGGUGGCUUUUGGUCAGACACAGACAAAUCACCUUUGAUUUUGCCUUUCUUACUGUAGCCUACAAGUAAUGCAUCCCCUUCUAAAUGUGGUAUAAAG
rnacentral:lncRNA from 10 species